rnacentral:snRNA from 1 species
GUGCUGGCUUCGGCAGCACAUAUACUAAAAUUGGAAUGAUAUAGAGAAGAUUAGCAUGACCCCUGCGCAAGGAUGAUACACAAAUUCAUGAAGCAUUCCAUAUUUUU